GGCAUAACCCGUUGACCUCCCUAGCAUAACCCAAGGACCUUUUUUCUUUUCUCCCGGCAUAACCCGUGGACCUCGCUGACAUAGCCCAAGGACCUUUAUUCUUAUAUCCCGGCAUAACCCGUGGACCCCCCUGGCAUAACCCAAGGACCUUUUUCUUUUCUCCCGACAUAACACGUGGACCUCCCUGGAAAAACCCAAGGACCUUUUUCUUUUAUCCCGGCAUAACCCGUGGACAUCCCUGGCAUAACCCAAGAACCUUUUUAUUCUUUUCUCCCGGCAUAACCCGUGGACCGCCCAUGCAUAACCCAAGGACCAUUUUUCUUUUCUCCCGGCAUAAUCCGUGGACCUCCCUAGCAUAAUCCAAUGACCUUUUUUCUUUUCUCCCGGCAUAACCCGUGGACCUCCCUGACAUAACCCAAGGACAUUUUUUCUUUUAUCCUGGCAUAACUUGUGGACCUCCCUGGCAUAACCCAAUGACCUUUUUUCUUUUCUCUCGGCAUAACCCGUGGACCUCCCUGGCAUAACCCAAGGUCCUUUUUCUUUUAUCCCUGCA
rnacentral:lncRNA from 1 species